CAGCAGCCGCGGGAAUACGAAGGGGGCUAGCGUUGCUCGGAAUGACUGGGCGUAAAGGGCGCGUAGGCGGUUUUGACGGUCAGAUGUGAAAUUCCUGGGCUUAACCUGGGGGCUGCAUUUGAGACGUCAAGACUAGAGUGUGAGAGAGGGUUGUGGAAUUCCCAGUGUAGAGGUGAAAUUCGUAGAUAUUGGGAAGAACACCGGUGGCGAAGGCGGCAACCUGGCUCAUUACUGACGCUGAGGCGCGAAAGCGUGGGGAGCAAACAGGAUUAGAUACCCCCGUAGUCCCUGUCUCUUAUAC
rnacentral:rRNA from 1 species